GAUGAAGAACGUAGCGAAAUGCGAUACGUAGUGUGAAUUGCAGAAUUCAGUGAAUCAUCGAAUCUUUGAACGCACAUUGCGCCCUUUGGUAUUCCAAAGGGCAUGCCUGUUCGAGCGUCAUUUGUACCCUCAAGCUUUGCUUGGUGUUGGGCGUCUUGUCUCCAGUCCGCUGGAGACUCGCCUUAAAGUCAUUGGCAGCCGGCCUACUGGUUUCGGAGCGCAGCACAAGUCGCACUCUUUUCCAGCCAAGGUCAGUGUCCAACAAGCCUUUUUUCAACUUUUGACCUCGGAUCAGGUAGGGAUGCCCGCUGAACUUAAGCAUAUCAAUAAGCGGAGGA
rnacentral:misc_RNA from 1 species